GGGGGGGGCGCCCGCAGCAGCUGGGCCCCCGCCGGCAGGGUCGCAGCCGCUGAGGCGGCCCCUCAGGCGCCCCCGUGCCUCGGCCGUCCUCCGGGAGAAGGCGGCGUUCGCUGUCGGAAGCAGCCCGGCCUCGGACAGUGCACCUUGUGUCCGCUUAGCUACGUGAUGGUGUGGGAAGGGGCACUACGGCCUCUUCCAGCCCUUCGAGCCUUGCACUGUGUUACAGCGUGCCAAUGAGAAGAACGAGAGGAGGGAUAACUUCGGCUUCAGCUAUCAGGAAAAAGAGAAACAAAAAAAUACAGGGGAAAAGUAGGGCUUCUGUCUUUACGGAUAUACUCCCGAUCGGUCAACAGUGAACAACACAGUACAUGUCUUCAUUGGUUGAAAAGUAUUUGGACCGAUCUUGGAGGCAGGUACGGCCCUGAAGAGGUGCUGCUUGCAAACAACCAUUUUGCAGAGCUAGAAAAUGAAGGAGGAAAGCGGGUCUGUCUUCAAGUUUGGAAAAUGCAAACUGCAGGUCCGCCACCCCUGUACAGUGACAGUAUCACACCCUGGCUGCGGAUUAAGGCUGGUUUCUGCAGCAGUCUUUCAGGGUGAGGAGUUGCAGUGUUUUCCUCAUGAGGAUGAUGGUUAGGACUCCAGCAGGGCUUAUGAGGUUAUAAAAGGUGUAUAGUAUUAAUUAUGAAUCCACAGCCUGGGAAGACAAAUGGACAUUUAAAGAUGUCUGAGGACUGGGAUAAAAACUGAAGCAACUGCUUACAGAACCACCAUAGGGGAAUACACUGCUCGCAUUCUUGUUGUCACACAGGGGUGUGUUGCCUGGCAAGCCACCCGAAGCAUGCCUGUGCGCUGCCUCUGGCUCAGAGCACUGGCUGCAGUUGCCUGUUUCAUCACAGUUUGUUGUCCUGGGUUUUGGAAACCGACCGCUGACACUGUCACCUACUCUGUGCUGGGAGAAGUUAUUUCAGUUGUUUGCACAUAAGCAGCUUUCUGGUUCUGUUUAUUUUAGUCAAGACAUGCUGCUGCGGUGAUGGUUAGCAUUGUAACAUAGUUGCCCCAAAUGAGGGUUGGAGUUUCAAUGCUGCUUUCAAAAGUUUCCCUUCACCUUAUGUGCCAAUUCCUGACAUUUGCAUCCGAGCACCCUGUUCCAUCUCUUCUUCCACGUACAACUUCUGCCCAGGUACUUAUUGAAACUCUGCUGUGAUAGUCCCUUGUAUUGAAAGCUUCUGUCAUAAGAGAUGUCUCCU
rnacentral:lncRNA from 1 species